AAGUGAGAAUGCCGGUGUGAGUAGCGAAAGACGGGUGAGAAUCCCGUCCACCGAUUGACUAAGGUUUCCAGAGGAAGGCUCGUCCGCUCUGGGUUAGUCGGGUCCUAAGCUGAGGCCGACAGGCGUAGGCGAUGGAUAACAGGUUGAUAUUCCUGUACCACCUAUAAUCGUUUUAAUCGAUGGGGGGACGCAGUAGGAUAGGCGAAGCGUGCGAUUGGAUUGCACGUCUAAGCAGUAAGGCUGAGUAUUAGGCAAAUCCGGUACUCGUUAAGGCUGAGCUGUGAUGGGGAGAAGACAUUGUGUCUUCGAGUCGUUGAUUUCACACUGCCGAGAAAAGCCUCUAGAUAGAAAAUAGGUGCCCGUACCGCAAACCGACACAGGUAGUCAAGAUGAGAAUUCUAAGGUGAGCGAGCGAACUCUCGUUAAGGAACUCGGCAAAAUGACCCCGUAACUUCGGGAGAAGGGGUGCUCUUUAGGGUUAACGCCCAGAAGAGCCGCAGUGAAUAGGCCCAAGCGACUGUUUAUCAAAAACACAGGUCUCUGCUAAACCGUAAGGUGAUGUAUAGGGGCUGACGCCUGCCCGGUGCUGGAAGGUUAAGAGGAGUGGUUAGCUUCUGCGAAGCUACGAAUCGAAGCCCCAGUAAACGGCGGCCGUAACUAUAACGGUCCUAAGGUAGCGAAAUUCCUUGUCGGGUAAGUUCCGACCCGCACGAAAGGCGUA
rnacentral:rRNA from 1 species